rnacentral:rRNA from 1 species
GACGGAGGGUGCUAGCGUUGUUCGGAAUCACUGGGCGUAAAGGGCGCGUAGGCGGCCUUGCAAGUCGGUUGGUGAAAGCCCGGGGCUCAACCCCGGAGGUGCGGCCGAGACUGCAGGGCUGGAGGCCGGAAGAGGAGGGUGGAAUACCCAGUGUAGAGGUGAAAUUCGUAGAUAUCGUUUGGAACGCCAAUGGUGAAAACAGACAGCUGGGAGUGUGCUGACGCUGAGACACGAAAGCCAGGGGAGCGAACGGG